GUCACAGAAAGACCAUUUAAGAUAGUAUACAUACAACAGUGAUCUUUCUUACAAGAAACAAGCCUAAUGCCACAUACAAUGGACUUACAGCUGGGUCACAACUAGCCAACUUUUGUCUUCCAUGAAAGGACAUGCAGCCUAAAAGUAUAUGAUAUGAAACGUCCGCUGUAGUUCUGAACAAGAUUUAGAGACGAAAAGACAGCCACUUACACAGCUUUCAAGAAUUAAUACGAUUCACAGGGCUGGAACUUUGUGUGCAGAGAGGGAGCACGUUCUACAGCAGCAACAAUUCAGCAGGGACAUGCAGAGAAUAAUCCAGACUUGCCAGACAAGCUCACUGGGCCUUGAAAGAAAGAGUCUGUUUCGAGAAGCUUCCUGCCCACACCGUGCAUCCUUCUGCCUUGACCUGGUGAUUUAUACUAUGCUACAUAAGAGACCUAUCAUUUUAUUAUCAGCUAUCGUUAUCAAUAUU